UACGUAGGGGGCAAGCGUUGUCCGGAUUUAUUGGGCGUAAAGAGCGUGUAGGCGGCCAGACAAGUCUGCUGUGAAAACUCGAGGCUCAACCUCGAGCUGUCGGUUGAAACUGUCUGGCUAGAGUCCGGAAGAGGAGAGUGGAAUUCCUGGUGUAGCGGUGAAAUGCGCAGAUAUCAGGAAGAACACCUAUGGCGAAGGCAGCUCUCUGGGACGGUACUGACGCUGAGACGCGAAAGCUAGGGGAGCAAACGGG
rnacentral:rRNA from 1 species